rnacentral:rRNA from 1 species
GAGUUUGAUCGUGGCUCAGGACGAACGCUGGCGGCGUGCUUAACACAUGCAAGUCACGGGGGCCCGCAAGGGCAACCGGCGAACGGGUGCGUAACACGUGAGCAAGCUUCCGAUUUGUGGGGGAUAGCCGGCCUAACGGCCGGGUAAUACCGCAUACGUUCACUGGGCGGCAUCGUCUGGUGAGGAAACCUCCGGGGCAAAUCGAGGCGCUCGCGGCCUAUCAGCUAGUUGGCGGGGUAAUGGCCCACCAAGGCGACGACGGGUAGCUGGUCUGAGAGGAUGGCCAGCCACAUUGGGACUGCGACACGGCCCAGACUCCUACGGGAGGCAGCAGUGGGGAAUAUUGCGCAAUGGACGAAAGUCUGACGCAGCGACGCCGCGUGUGGGAUGAAGCUCUUCGGGGUGUAAACCACUGUUGCCCGGGACGAAAUGCCCUUUCGAGGGAAUUGACGGUACCGGGUGAGGAAGCACCGGCUAACUCUGUGCCAGCCGCCGCUGU